GCCGUUUGCUUUUUUGACUAGGACAACGUUGGAAAUUCAAUCAGGAUAAUUGACUUCCUUAAUGAAUCCGGCUUUAAGGAGCUUGUCCACUUCCUCAGCUAUCGCCUUCUGCCUCUCCGGUGCAUGAUCUUGGAUUUUUUCUUUCGUCGGUCGAUACUUUGGAUCGACGGUCAGGCGGUGCUCCAUGACUUCCGUGUCAAUCCCUGGCAUGUCUGCUGGAACCCAAGCGAAAACGUCCGCAUUCCUUCGUAGAAAAUCAAUGAGCCGCGUCCGCACCUCCUCCUCCAGGUUGGAGCCGAUCAUCGCUACAUGCUUCGCGUUCCCGUCAUUCAAAGGGAUUGGUACCAGAUCUUCAAUUGGGGCACCCCUCUCUUCGGUGAGGUCAUCGCGAGCAUCCAAUCCAUCAAUGGGACAGGGGUC
rnacentral:lncRNA from 1 species